rnacentral:snoRNA from 1 species
UUUCUCCGAUUUGCGGAAGAGGCUGAAAAACUCGGAUAACAUGUGUUGUCAUCAGCUUCGUCUCUUGUUCCUACGAGAUGGGAGUUAAAUAACGACACGAGAUUC